CUUUGUGGCGACCGGCGCACGGUGCGUAACGCGUAUGCAACCUACCUUUAACAGGGGCAUAACACUGAGAAAUUGGUACUAAUUCCCCAUAACAUUCGAGAAGGCAUCUUCUUGGGUUAAAAACUCCGGUGGUUAAAGAUGGGCAUGCGUUGUAUUAGCUAGUUGGUGAGGUAACGGCUCACCAAGGCAACGAUACAUAGGGGGACUGAGAGGUUAACCCCCCACAUUGGUACUGAGACACGGACCAA
rnacentral:rRNA from 1 species